GAACCUGAACAUUGAAAGUGGCACUUGCAAAACACAAAUUUUCAGUUUUGAUUGAUACUUUAUGAAAGAAUAUGUUGGCGGACAUGGCAAUACAGUUUCAUAUCGAAAACCACUCCAAUUGAAGUAUUUGUGGUUCAUGUACACUAUUGUUUGAUAAAUUGGUGGCAAAUAGUUGUGUGAGCUUCAUUUGGUCAGGUUGUUUCGACUGCAUGAUGCAUGAGACAUGGAUUCCUAAGGAUUGUUCAAGUGCAUUCAGUGUUAACGGAUGGAACACAGAUUAGCCUUGGCCACAAUGAGCAGAAGGAGUACAAUAUGGGUGACUGCAGGUACGUCCCCAGGGACACCGCUACGUGACUGUUGAAGGAAUCACAGUUGUGCUGGAAGGUCCUGCCUUCCUGCUUGCUGUGUCUGCCUUCUCAUCUUAUUUUAUGAUCGUUUAUGUGAAGAAGCAGCAGCAACUUGAUUUGUUUUCUUGCGUAGUAAUAUGUGAGCUGCAUUUGCAGACAUAUAUGGGUCAAGUCACUCUUUGUUAGUUAGA